CUUUCUCUUUAUAUCAUCUUUUGGGGAAGUUUCCAGAUCAGUACAUAGUUCCCUCCCUUGUUUCUGCAGCUCUGUGGUAUUUCAACAUGGGCGCACUAUAGUUUAUUGAACUCAUCCCCUACCGACUCAAGUUGUGACCAGGCUUUUGCUAUCACAUAAUGCCGUAGUGUAUGACCUUGUGAGUCGCGUUUUGUAUGUGUGCAGGUGUAAGUGCAGUAUCUAUUCCUAGAAAGGCAGUGGCUGGGUCAGAAGAUUGUAAUUUAUCAUUUGGUGGCUAGUACCCCAUUAUUCUCCAUUGGUAGCUUAUCAGUCCAUACCCUCAGCAGCAAAGACAUCUACAGUCCUAGCACCUCACCCUUGGGUCCUGGGAUGCUUUCGCCCUAGAUGACCAGUCUUUUACUCUGAUACUCAGCAGGUUUAGGAUUUGCUUGGAGAGGUCCAGAGGGCGACUAGGUCUGGAUCCCCUUUCCAGGCAGUUCUGGGAUCAUCGUACUGUCAUUCUUUCAGCGUCUCUGCAGGGUGCCCAAAAUGCUUCCAGCUUAUACCACUAGCGAUGGUGGCUGUAUUGGGUUUAUUUAAUUUAGCAGCUGUUAUGUACCGGGCAUUGUGGUGGUUGUCUUAUGUACAUGGUCUCCCUUUGCAACGACCCAUUAUAUAGGGGAGGAAAAGCUAAAUUAAAGCUCAACAGCUAAUGACAAUAGCACCACGUAUUGAAGAUUUUCUGUGUUUUACCUACCUGUACAGCUACAUUUAAUUGUCACAAUAAUCGCUUGAAGUGUGCAUUAUUAUUUUUAUUUUCCCAUUAGUUAAAUGAAGAAACCAAUGCUCAGAAAGAUGCAAUCACUUGCCCAUGGUGUUAUUUUUAAUUUUUUACUUUAAUUUUUUAUAGUUUAUUUAUUUAUUUUGAGAGAGAGUCUGUGUGUGAGAGAGUGGGUAAGGAGCAGAGAUAGAAUCCCAAGCAGGCUCUGCAAUGCCAGCACAAAACCCAGUGCGGGGCUCAAACUCAGGAACUGCAAGAUCAUGACCUGAGCCAAUACCAAGAGUCGGACGCUUAACCAACUGAGCUACCCAGGCACCCCAUGCUUUUAAUUUAUUUUUUUAAUGUUUGUUUUUUGAGAGAGCAUGCAUGCACGUUGAGUGGGAAAGGGGCAGAAAGACAGAGGGGGACAGAGGAUCCAAAGUAGGCUCUGCACUGACAGCACAGAGCCCUAGGUGGGACUCGAACUCCUAAACCCUAAGAUCAUGACCUCAGCCAAAAGUUGGAUGCUCAACUGACUGAGCCACCCAGGCGCCCCUUGCCCAAGGUUUUAGUAUGCAGCCAGCCAAAAUCUCACUUAGAUCUUCCACACUGCUAAUUUCUGGUAACAACACAGUACUACCUUGAUUUCUUUUCAACAAUAGAGUAUAUCAGGGUCCCUCCCUUUCCUGGUCCCGACUUUCUUCACUUUGGCCGGGAACCUCAUUUAGACCCUACCAAAGCCCAACCAAUUUAGGCCUGGCACUGGGCCUUGAACCACCUGCCAAGCUGUCGGCCAAAAAGAGGCAGCAGUCUCCGGGGCACUUGUGUAAGGUGGCCCUGUGUGGUCAGGGGCUCACGACACCGUGGGCUGGGUGGGGUCCCUGUGUCCUGCUAACAGCCAGGUAUGCGUCUGUUGGAGGAAGAACAGUGUGUAAGAAGCAAGUGGCGUCUGCUCUGUGCUUGUUAUAGGAGGAGGGGCUGGGCCACGCGGGGCCACCAAGCAAGGCCGACGCCGAGUGCCGGGCUGUGAGGAUGCAGCUUAGUGACUAAUUUGGCGUCUUGAGUGAAGAACGGCCUGAAAAAAGAACAGUCUGCCUGUGCACUGCAGGCCUUGCCUUCCCGAAGGAAAAAGCCACAGCCUAACCGGCUGCUGGCUGGUGUUCUUUCCAGAGUGUUUUCUUUCCCUGCCCACCCUCUUUGCAGAAACUGCCUUCCCUUGUCUAGGUCCUCAUGUGCUCAGGCGCUCCCACUCUGUUGCCCUUUAAGUAAGAGGUGUCCGGUGGCCUCUUGAAGAGUGUCUGUGUGCAGGUAGAUGGAGAUACGGCCUGACAUGGGCUAGAGACGCUGGCGAGGAAAUGAGCCGCCGCCUGGCAGCUGAGCUGCCCUCACAAAUUGUCCUCUGCCAGCUCUGAGCAGGGUGCACUCGCUUGAGUUGAGAGAGCUGUGCACAAGUCUCCAUUGCCCUCGUCUCUGCAAUUUCUAACACUGUCCUUUGUUAUUUAUUCUCUUUCGGAGAGCUGUAUUGCUUUUCUGAUUAUGAAAGUAACAGAUGCCCCUUGCCAGGAAGUAUUGAAAGGAGGAACAAGAUCGCCCAUAGUCCCACCCUUGAGAAGUGGCCACUGUUAAUGUUUUGGGUUUCACCUCACAGACUUCUCCGUGUAUUAUUUAUUCUAAUUUUCCUUUCAAUUUUUGUUUAAGUUUUAUUUAUUUAAGUGAUCUAUCUCUACACUCCGUGUGGGACUCGAACUCAAGACCCCAAGAUCAAGAGUCGUAUGCUCUUCUGAUUGAGCUAGCCAAGCACCCUAUAUUUCUUUCUUUCUUUCUCUUUCUUUCUUUCUUUCUUUCUUUCUUUCUUUCUUUCUUUCUUUCUUUCUUUCUUCCUUCCUUCCUUCCUUCCUUCCUUCCUUCCUUCCUUCCUUUUUUUUUUUCUUCCUUCCUUCCUUCUUUCCUUUCUUCCUUUCUUUCUCUCUCUUUUUCCUUCCUUCCUUCCUUCAAAAAAUUUUUAAUGUGUAUUUAUUUUUGAGAGAGAGACAGAGUGAGGGAGGGGCAGAGAGAGAGGGAGACACAGAAUCUGAAGCAGCUCCAGGCUCCAAGCUGUCAGCCCAGAGCCCAACGUGGGCCUCGAACUCAUGAACCCCAAGAUCAUGACCUGAGCUGAAUUUGGACACUUAAGUCGACUGAGUCACUCAAACACCCCUAUUUUUUUCAGUUUUUAAAUAGCAAAAUGAGAUCACACUUUCCUUAUGAUAGCCUUAUUUUUCCAGCAUGUGUUCAACCUGUUUGCGGCAAAAAUAUGGAUCAGUAGCCUCACUUGUACUGCAUGUUUCAUUGUUUGAUAGAUAGAUGGUUGUUUAUGUAACCAUUAGUUUAUUGGUGGGUAUUCAGGCUGUUUAUAGUUUCUCAGUAUUGCAAACAUUUAUGAUGAACAUUCAUAAUUUGUGCAUGUAAUUCAACUUUCGCUGUUUAAAAAGGUUUUUUGUUUUUUGUUUUUAAGUUUAUUUAUUUUGAGAGAGAGAACCAACACAGGAGGGGCAGAGAGAGGGAGGGAGGGACAGAGGAUCCAAAGCGGGCUCCAUGCUGACAGCAGAGUCCCAUGCAGGUCUCGAAGUCAUGAGCCGCGAGAUCAUCAUGACCUGAACCAAAGUCAGACACUUAACUGACUGAGACACCGAGGUGCCCCAAAGUGCAGCCUUUUUAGGAAGCAGUUUGGAAAUGUGCAUCAAGAAUCCUGUUCUCUCUUUGGUCCAGUAAUUCUCCUUGAUUUACUUGAGAAUAUACCUUUAAGAAAUAAUGUGAGCAAAAUUCAUGUACAAAAGGUAUUCAUUAUCAUAUUUAAAAGAAAACUUGGAACGGCAUUAAAGAGUUAAUGACACAGAUCAAUGCAGUGCUGUGUGCAGGUUGAAAUGAUGUUUAUUAUAGAGAGUGUCAAGCAUACAGAAAAAUGGAAAGAAUCAUCCAGUGGUGAAUGCCAACGGACCACUCAGUUGGAUUCAGUCGUUAAUAAUUUGCUUUUACUUUGGCGCGGGGAGGGGGGGGCGACACUGAUGACAUGAUACUUAAGCUGAAUCCUUAAGGACACAUCCAAGUUCAUCACUUGCUUUCAAUUCUGUGUCUCAUUUAAUUCAGGAGUUGGCAAACUGUGCUUGCCACCUGUUUUUGUAAAUAAAGUUUUAUUCCACACCUCCUCAUUUAUGUAUUAUCUGUGGUAGCUUUUGUAGUUUUUACAGCUCUGUGACAGCAGACUCAAAGAGUUUAAACAGGGACCAUAUGGCACAUAAAGCCAAAACAAUUUACUGUCGAGUACAUUACAGAGAAAGCUUUCCAGUUCCUAAUCUAGAACAGUUUAUCCCCCCCCCCUUUUUUUUAAGUUUAUUUAUUUCUCGUAGAGAGAGGGGGAGAGAGAAUCCCAAGCAGGGCCCUGCUGCCAGUGCGCAGCUGGACAUGGGUGGGGCUUGAUCUCAGGAACCGUGAGCUCAUGACGUGACUCCAGAUCGAGAGUCGGCCGCCCGACUGACUGAGCCACCCAGGCACCAGGCACCCCACACUUUUUUGUUUUAAGGAGUCCAGGCCACCCAUCUUCUGGGUUCUUCUGAUUGUUUCUUGAGGUGAUGCUUGUAUUUUCUUGUUUCAUUUUUAUUAUUUAGACUUGUUUCCUCAAUGGUGUUUUUACAAGAGCAUGUGACUUCAUCUCAGGAUCAUGAGUGUGAGCCCCAUGUUAGGUGUAGAGAUGAUGUAAAUGAAUAAACUUUAAAAAAUCUUUAAAUAAUUUAUAUACAGUAAAAUUUACCUUUUGUUAAAUAGUAAUGUGAGUUGUGUGGGUGUGUUUUGUUUUAAAGUUCCGUGAAUUCUUACAAAGGUAUAGAGUUAUGUAACCACCACAGUCAAGAUAUAGAAAAGUGUCAUUAUUGUAAAAAUUCUCUUGUAGAGUCUCGAUAACAGGGCAGCACCUUCCUUCCUGCACCCAGCGAUCUGUUCUCUAUCCCUGCAGUUCUGCCUUUCCAAUAGUGUAACAAAUGGAAUCUGUUCAGUUCAUGUAGCCUUUUGAGUCUGGCCUCUUUGACUUAACUUCAUGCACUUGAAAUUCAUCCAUGUUAUAUGAAGUCGAUAACUCAUUUCUUAUUGCUGAGCAGUAGUCCACUGUAUGGAUACACCAGUUUGUUCACCAGAUGAAGCACAUUCAGGUUGUUCCCAGUUUGGGGCAAUUAACGACUAAAGCCACUAUAAACAUUCAUGUGUUCUUGUGUGAGCAUAAGUUUUUGUCUCUCUUGGGUGUGUGCACCUAAGAGCGGAGUUGAUGAUUCACAUGGUAAUUCUCUGUUUAACAUUUUGAGGACCUGCCAGACUGUCUUCCACGGCAGCCACGCCAUUUUUCCAUUCCACCAGCACUUUGUGCGGGUUCCAGUUUCUCCACAUCCUUGCCAACAAGUGUUAUGGUCUGUUAUUUAGCCUUAGUGGGCAAUACAUCCUAUCUCGCUGUU